rnacentral:rRNA from 1 species
AUUGAACGCUGGCGGCAGGCCUAACACAUGCAAGUCGAGCGAGCGGCGGACGGGUGUGUAAUGUCUGGGAAACUGCCUGAUGGAGGGGGAUAACUACUGGAAACGGUAGCUAAUACCGCAUACCAUCAGAUGUGCCCAGAUGGGAUUAGCUAGUGGGUGGGGUAACGGCUCACCUAGGCGACGAUCCCUAGCUGGUCUGAGAGGAUGACGAGCCACACUGGAACUGAGACACGGUCCAAACUCCUACGGGAGGCAGCAGUGGGGAAUAUUGCACAAUGGGCGCAAGCCGGAUGCAGCCAUGCCGCGUGUAGGAAGAAGGCCUUCGGGUUGUAAAGUACUUUCAGCGAGGAGGCGUUACUCGCCGAAGAAGCACCGGCUAACUCCGUGCCAGCCGCCGCGGUAAUAC